rnacentral:rRNA from 1 species
AACGAACGCUGGCGGCAUGCCUAACACAUGCAAGUCGAACGAGACCUUCGGGUCUAGUGGCGCACGGGUGCGUAACGCGUGGGAACCUGCCCUUAGGUUCGGAAUAACUCCCUGAAAGGGGUGCUAAUACCGGAUAAUGUCUUCGGACCAAAGAUUUAUCGCCUUUGGAUGGGCCCGCGUUGGAUUAGCUAGUUGGUAGGGUAAAAGCCUACCAAGGCGACGAUCCAUAGCUGGUCUGAGAGGAUGAUCAGCCACACUGGGACUGAGACACGGCCCAGACUCCUACGGGAGGCAGCAGUGGGGAAUAUUGGACAAUGGGCGAAAGCCUGAUCCAGCAAGGCCGCGUGAGUGAUGAAGGCCUUAGGGUUGUAAAGCUCUUUUACCCGGGAUGAUAAUGACAGUACCGGGAGAAUAAGCUCCGGCUAACUCCGU